rnacentral:rRNA from 1 species
AUUGAACGCUGGCGGCAUGCCUUACACAUGCAAGUCGAACGGCAGCACGGGGGCAACCCUGGUGGCGAGUGGCGAACGGGUGAGUAAUGCAUCGGAACGUGCCCGGUAGUGGGGGAUAACUCGGCGAAAGUCGAGCUAAUACCGCAUAUGUACCGAGGUAGAAAGCGGGGGACCUGCAAGGGCCUCGCGCUAUCGGAGCGGCCGAUGUCGGAUUAGCUUGUUGGUGGGGUAAUGGCCUACCAAGGCGACGAUCCGUAACUGGUCUGAGAGGACGACCAGUCACACUGGGACUGAGACACGGCCCAGACUCCUACGGGAGGCAGCAGUGGGGAAUUUUGGACAAUGGGCGAAAGCCUGAUCCAGCAAUGCCGCGUGUGUGAAGAAGGCC